AUGUACACCUGGAUAAAGACUGAAAGGAAAACAGAUGCCGCUAUGAGGAGUGCGGAAUUUCCAAGCCCAGUGGUCAGGAAGAGUCAUCUUACCCCCAGCUCCAGGGUGAACUUUGAUGGGAUUGCUCCAAUCAGCCUAUCUUAUUACCCAGACCUUGGCAAUUGGUUCAGAGAGGGGCACUUGACCCAGUUUGGACCCAAGAGGAGACAUUUGCUGAGAACUUCUGAGCUAGACAGUUUGUCUCUCUUUCAUGGAAGCGUCUGGAAUUGAUACUCUCUCUUCCCUACCUUGAGUGGUGUGGCCUAAGAAGGUGGGCCUAGAAGUCCAGUGGUCAUUGUUACUAACAGGAGCACGGCUAGCUGAGACUGAAGCUGUACAGAGCAGAGUUGAGAGGCUGGCAGAAAACCUGAAUCAGAGUCCAGACUCUUUCAGGAACCUCUGGAUCAAAUCUUGCCCAAGGCUCAUGCCCCCUCUAGAAUUUCAGUUAAAUGAGUCAGUAAUUUAAGCCUAUUUGAGUCGUGUUAUCUGUUACUGGCGACCCAAAACAUCCUAAAUAAUACAUGCAUUUAAAAUAAUUGUAUUCUAUUCUAUUACAUGGAUGUGUGAAAAGCAUUUUCCUGUUUACUACCCAAUCUGACCUUUAAGCGGUCUUAUGAAGUAAACAAGUCUCUAUUUGGCAAGUGUAGAACUAAGGCCCGGAGAGGACAACUGAGCUAUCUAAAGUCACACAGCCAGUUAGUGGCAGAACCAGGCUCCCUGCCGUCUUGAGCAAAGCUUUUAAUGGUCAUCGAUUCCUCAAGGCAGAGACAUUAUGGACCAGUGAGUAAAAGAAUUCUGAAGGAUGGCACCGCAUCGUUAGGCUGACAGUCAGGAUGGGAAAGUGACAUGGCAUGUGAACCAGCUGCAUCCUGGAUUUGAAACCUAGGGUUUAAAGCAUGAAAAAGUUUAGAGAGAGAUUAGAGUACUGAUUCUCAAACUGUGGUCUGGGGACCCUGAGGGUUCCUGAGAUCUUUUCAAGAGAUUUGUGAGCUCAAAAGCAUUUUCAUAAUAACAUUAAAAUGAUAUUUUCUCUUUUAUUCUCAUUCUCUCGUAAGUGUGCAGUGGAGUUUUCCAGAGGCUACAUGACACGCGACACACAAGGGACUGAAUGCAGAAGGGAAUAGGAGAAUCCAGCUGUCUUCUAUUAAGCCAGACAUUAAACAGAUCUGCAGAAAUGUCAAACAAUGCCACUCUUC
rnacentral:lncRNA from 1 species